GAGAGCGGCGCGGGGCCCGGCGGCGGCGCUGCGAAGAAAGGCAGGGCCGCGCUGAGCGAGCGAGCGGCUGCCAUCGGCGAGGCGUUCGACUUUAGGGGGUGGAGAGUGGAGCAGGAACCAGGCGUGAGCCGGCUCCUGCUAAAACUUUGCCAUCGCGCUGCUUUUUGGUUCGUCGGGCUGCAGUUUCCAUAGAAGCAACUUAUCCCCGCGAUCAUCUUGUUGGGUGCACUUUGCAAGCUCAUUUCCCGUCUGAGUUUGCUCCGCUGCUCUCAGAUGCUGCAGCUGACACAUUUCCUCCCCGUGCACUUUGCACCCACCUCAUCCUUGCCCAGAUGCUCGGGGCUGAUUGUGCCUAAAAGGGGGUUUCAUUGCGCUCUGCAGCUGCCUCGGGGGAAGGGAGUAUUAUUUUUUUGAAUUCUGCUUUUCCCCUUCUCCAGCACCACGCAGGCAGCAGGCCUUCCUCACUGCCCUGUCCCAGCCUUGGCGCAAGGAAGCAGCCCCUGCCACGUGCCCAUCUUGUGCGAGUGCUGCCAGUGACUGUGGGGCCCCGUCCGUGUGGCAGCCCUGGGGAGCAGCAGUGGAGACCUCUCCUUGCUCCCGACGUUACUUCUGGAUGCUCUGCCGGAGUGCAGAGCCCCUGGGAUCUCGUUGGCAGCAUCCUGCUCCCCAUCACCACUGCCUGGAACCUCAAUUGGCCAGAUGGUGCUCAUUGCUUCCAUUCUGAACUUCCUGCCGUGUCCCAAGGAUGGCUGUCCCUUUCAUCCUUGCUUCUGAAAUGCUCCUUUGUCCAUGGGUGUGUUCCCCUGCCCCCCGAGCCUCCUCUUGUAGAUCCUGCAUCCCUAAUUCUCACUAGUACCACUGCUUCCCCAAAUCCUGCUUUGCUACAGCAGGGCUCGGCAACCCCCAGAACACGGUCACACCUUUGCUGGGUCCCUUUUCCAAACUCCAUUCUCUUCUGUGCCUUCUUUGCAGAUGCCAUGGAUCUGCUCCAGCAAGACCUCUUUUCCCUCCCCCCACUAUACUUCUGGAUAACAUUGCUUUUGUAUGGCAAUGUUUGCCUUCAUCUGUACUUCUGCACAUUCCUCAUCUGUUGCUGUUGUAUUCCCAAGCUUGGAGGCUUGCAAGGGUUUCUCAUCUCUGUAGCAGGACCAGUGCCCCCAAGGCAUUUCUGUGUAAACUCCACCUGCAAAGGGCUAUUGCUGAGCUGAUGCUACUGGAAGAAUGUUGCCAUGAAAUCCAUUUGAAAGCAACAGCUCUCUGGCACAGUGCACACCUGUGUGAAUAAGGUCACAAAAUGCUUGGCUCCGUUUCACUGGAUAAAGGAAGGAUUGGAAACUGCGUUGGUCAGUGAAGACUUUAAUACCUGUUCCAGGUCGGGUACCCACCCCCACUGCCUUACAACUUAAAUCUUAGGAUAAUUAUGAGGAUAGAUGCUUCUGUAUAGAACACUGUGCAUUUGUUGUUACUCAGUAGUAAUAAUGUUUCAUGAACACAGGGGAGGAAUGAAGGCUGCGCUGCAACUGUUGGUGAAUCUAUUAUCCUGCCUUCCUUUACAGCACUGCACCUACAGGAUGAAAAGCUCUGUAAUAUGGAGUAAGCAGUACUGAUUCAGUGGUUUACUGAAGCUACUGUUGUUGGUUCUGUUAGGACAACAUCCACAGUGCUUUUUAGCUAAUGCAUACAGCGAAAUAUUUUACAGUCUGGGAAGGCUCAUUCCGCUCAGGUUUGGAUACUGGAAAUGCAACUCAACCAAAUGUGUGCAGCGAGUCCCAAAUGCACCCUCUGAAGUCCCACUGAACCACAUGAGUUCUGAAGUUUCUUAGGCUGUAAAAACUUUGCUUCUCUGUGGACCCAGAAUCAGUGUUAUCUAGGUUAAGCUGACUUUCUUAGCCACUGUCUGCUGCAUUAACCCAUCUGGGAAUCACAAAAUAGGUACGUGUCUAAGUCUCUUGAGAAUCCUGGUCCAGGAGGUGUGCUCAGAUCAUGCUUAAAUGCACAUUGACAGCGUGGAGCUUAGCACAAAGCACAGCAGCUGUAGCUGCUGGAAAGUUUAAGGGGGAGAGAAGGAAAAGAACUGCUUCGCUUUUGUAAAUUGUUUUUCUCGUGAGAGCACUUGCCCUGGAAGUGAGAGAGUGAAUACUCUCCUCAUUAGAGAGGUGUUACGAACUCCCUCCUGCUUGCAAAGCACCCCCAACGACCGAAGAUAAGGCUGAGGUGGAGGAUACCCACCCAUCCUGUUGAAGCUUGCCGCUGUAAAGAAAAGGAUGCAAAUUUCAAAGGGCCAGAGGGAUUACAAACAAGAGGGAGCCUGUCACUGUAGCUCUGGGGCAAAGGCAUCUCCUGGAUAGCAAGAAGCUUGAAUGCCAGGCCUGGCCUGGCAGACUCACCCGUUCUUGAGGGUGAGGUUCAUCUCACCUUAUCUUAUUUACUUAGAAGUUUGCUGUUCUUGUCUCUCCUCAGUCAGUGAGAAGAGAGAACAAGAGACACCUGCACAGAAUGAUUCAUUCUGUGCCUGUUCAACACUGCUCUGGAUGGAACAAAUCUCCUUGCUGGGUGUUGUCUCUCUCCAUCAAUUCUCAACAGAAGUUAGACAACCAGUUCUGAGCAGAAGCCCAAUUUACGGGUGCCACGUGAGAUGAAUUCUACCGUAGAUGACUAAUUUUUCUCAUUCAUCAUACCUGCUUUUGGCCUGUAGAAGUUGGGCUUGUAACAAAGUUAGUCAUUUUAGUUCUGUCUUUGUACAAUGGCGAUUCCCUCCCCUCGCAAUCUGGAGACUGAUAGCUGAGGUGAAUUGACCUUGGAUGAUGUUUAUCUUUGUCUGAGCCCUGUAAACUCCUCAUGAGCACGCGUGCUCCUCCUUUGCACUUGCUGGGCUGUCUGAAAAUGGAAUGUGGAACUAUUAAAUGACAUUGUGCAAACUUAUUUUGUGGAUGGUCUGAGUGGCUGGAGAGACUGUACCAUUUUAAUUUGAGAGCUGCCAGUUUCAUAAAAAUAUGCAUUAAAAUAUAGGAAGAUAGAGUCUUCAACUAGGACUUUCAAAAAACUGAAAGGCUGCUUAUUUAAAUCAAUGGAGAUCGGGUACUCUGGAAAGUACCACUAAGCUUAUGUUGCAUUUUAGGCACUUUCAUCCAGAAAAAUCUGUCUCUGACUUCUAAAACUGAAGAUUGGGUGCCCUUAAAAAUGCUACCUUUAAUCCUAUCCCUGAAGAGGCAAGUAUGUAAUUUUCAGUUUCAAAAAACUAUAGUUUUUCAUUUUUCAUGACGUGGAUUGGUGCUGAGGUGUGUAACAGGAUAACUCCCCAGCAUGUACCUCAUUGUUUCAUCAGAGAUCAGCAAAAGGUCGCCCAACUUUUUUAUCAGAUUUCAACUGCGUGCUUUUUUGUGCUGCUCUUCAGUUUGGUGCACGUACAGCCUGUGCAAAAGGAUGAAUGCAGAAAAAGGCAAGCUGUGUGUUUUUAUGAUUUAAUAUUUGUCAGAGGCCAUCUAAAGGUUAUGUCCAGCCAUUUUCAAAGUUUAGAUUGCAGAGGCAAUAGUGUCCAGCUUGGCAAAAUGAAAGUCGUAUGUUCUGACGGGUGUUUAGCUGCAAACAUAGCUGGAGAGGAUUCCACCACAUUGUUCAUGUCAGUCACUGUGUAGUCCUGAGUGCCUUCAAGUACUGCGAGACACAAGCUUGAGCAACUUUUUUCUUUUCUUAUCAAAAUACUGAAAUUAUGUGUGUAUGCAAGAUGUUUAAAUUUGGCAACAGAAAAAUAAUUGGGAAUCGGCUCAAAAUUAAAUUACUUAAGGCCUCAAGCUAUUGUUUCUAGCAGAGACAAGAGGUCUGACAACAUUAGAAGGAUAUGCAAACUUUUGAGAGUAUUUUGGGCCAGAACAGAACAGCUGAUUUAUGCCUCGCUGAGGAUCUCAGUUAUUCUUGUUUGGAUCUGUAUCAGAAUUUGGAUUUUUUUUUUUAAUUUCUUAAUUUCCUGCUGUAUCACUGUGCUUUCUUUUCAGCCCAGUAGCAUAACUUCUGAGCUUUUGUGCUCUUUGUUCUCUUUCACAGCCCUACAGGUCUAUUGAUUCUGGAGGUGAGAUUGAUCUCACUUGAUGUAAAGCAUACAUCUGGUAGAUACCUAUAACUAAUCCUUUCUCUCAAGACUCUGUUUACUGACCACCGAUAAAAUCAUUGCUUUUGCAGUGACUGUCACUCUAAUCACAGAAUCAUAGAAUCACAGAAUCACCGCCAUUGAAAAAGACCUCCAAGAUCAUCCAGUCCCACCAUCCACCUACCACUAAUAUUUCCCACUAAACCACGUUCCCCAGCACAUCUAAACGUUUCUUGAACACCUCCAGGGAUGGUGACUCAACCACCUCCCUGGUUGAGAGCCCCAUCCAGUGCCUGACCAAUCCUUUGGAGAAGAAAUUUUUCCUAAUGUCCAACCUGAAUCUCCCAACUUGAUGCCAUCCCCUCUCAUCCUACUGCUCGUUGUGCAGGAGUAGAGGCCAACCCUCACAUUGCCACAGCCUCCUUUCAGACAGUUGUAGAGCGCUUUAAGGUCUCCCCCGAGUCUCCUUUCCUCCAGACUACACAGCCCCCUUACCCAACCCACUCCUCAUUAGCCUCUCCAGACCCCUCACAGUUCUUGUUGCCCUUCUUUGGACACGCUCCAGGGCUUUGAUGUCUUUGUUGCAGCCAGGGACCCAAAACUGUACACAGUACUUGAGGUGUGGCCUCAGCAGAGCUGAGUAUGGGAAGAAGAUCACUUCCCUGCUCCUUCUGGCAGCACUGUUUCUUAUACAAGCCAGGAUGGCAUUGGCUGCCUGGGCACACUGCUGGCUCAUGUUCAGCCGAGUGUCGACAUCACUCCCAGGUCCGUUUCUUCUGCUCAGUCUUGUAGUACCUUUGUCCCAAGCCUGCAGCGCUACCUGGGGUUGUUGCGACCAAAGCGCAGGACCCAGCACUUGGUCUUGUUGAACUUCAUCCCACUGACCUCAGCCCAGUGGUCCAGCCUGGGCUGGAUCCCUCUGUAGGGCCUUCCUCCCCUCGGGCAGAUCAGCACUUCCUCCCAGCUUGGUGUCACCUGCAGACUUACUGAGGGUGCACUCAAUCCACUCAUCCAAGACAUCAAGGAAGAUACCAAACAGGACAGGCCCCAGCACCGACCCCUGGGGAGCAUUACUCAUGAUCUGUGGCCCAGCCUUCCAGCCUGUUCUUUACCCAGCGAAGCGUGUACCUCACCUCACUGUAGCCUCACUGGCCGUGGGCUGCCGGCUUCUCCAGGAGAAUACUGUGGGAGACAGUAUCAAAAACUAUGCUGAAGCCUAGGUAAGAUCAUGUUGACAUAAUAUAGCCAAUCACAAAAUCACCAACUUUGGAAAAGACCUCCAAGAUCAUCUGUUCCAACUAUCCGCCAGUAUUUCCUGACUGAACCGUACAGAUGGGCUGUGCCAGGGUUGGUUCUCAGACUUUCUAGACAACUGAAAAUUCUGUUUUUCUUUAUGUUUGGCUGUGGGAGUUGACCCAUUUUAGUUAAAAUACUUGAAACACAGAGAAAAUGAACAGUGAUUAAUGCACUUUCACCAAGAGCAUGUUCUUGUUAUGGUCUUGUGGAGUACUGGAGAUUUACAGAACACAGUGUGUAACCUCUAGGCUAGAUGCUCAUAGUUGUGAGCUUUUUGCAUUUCUGAGGCAUAUUUCAGCCUGUUGCUGGAUGUGGUAAUCUUUUAUUAUGGAACUGCUUGUUCAUUUGCUGAACAGAUGUGACCUAUGUAGUUGAGAGAGACUGAAGUGAAAGCCUUGCCUCGGUUACUGUAAGAAGCAUAUGCAAAGAAUAGUAAAAGAGGCAAGGUACGCCCAUAAAACUGCUGAAUUCUGCUGUGGAGGAAUUAAUUCAAUCCAUGCGUCUGCCACAAUGGUGUUUUUGUGAGAUGACAGUGAUGGACAAGUCACUUCAAGAAGAAUUUGGUCAGGAGACUGCUUAGCACAUGGGAAGUCGGUGGGAGUUGUUCUUAAAGAUCUAAAGUGUAAUGAAAAUGCCAAGCACUAUGAAGUAACAGGUCCAAGCUAUCACAAGCUUGGCAGCCAGAACUGGAGUUAUUAACCAGUAUGUUUUCUCGUCAGCUGCUUCACAAAUAACCAUUGUCUUAAAGUUAACAGAUUAUCAUUUUUUCCUUGAAAAGUGAAUGCCCCUUUUGAGGGGACAGAGUAUAUUCUAGUAAAUGAUUCAUGGAUUGACCGAUGCUUAUUGUAAUAAGUGACGUCCCAAUUUCCAGUAAGCUUUUCAGAGACUGCAGAUUGAUUUUAGCUCCUGGUUUGCAAGUAGGAGCUCACAGGUGGUGCAGAGCUGGUGAGGUGACCAUCAAGAAUCAAUUGAAGCCAGCAGAGAGUGAGAGAAGAAAGAUAACACUUGUUUGGAUGGGGCUGGAGGACCAGGGAAGAUACCAGUCACGGCUGAGUGAGGACUUGGAGCCUGAAUGAGGAGGUCUAAAGAUUAAAGGGGAACAGGAGGGGUAGAAAAUUCAAGAUUCAUAUCCCUAACCAUUUCUUUCGUCUUCUUCUUCUUCUUCUUCUUCUUCUUCUUUUUUUUUUUAAUUUUCAUUUGAAAUUUAAGAACUAAAAUAAGGAACGGUACUCAGAAAGUGAAUGCUUCUGAAGACAUUUCUUGCAUGUCUGUGCCCACUUAUAGGUAGAACAACGUAUGCUGCUUUUCACCCGAGCUAGAUAAAUCUCAUGACUUCUGGGACACAAACUCAAGAUUGAUGCCACGAGAGCUUGCCAUCUCUUCUAAGGAGCCCAGGCACAAGUCUCUGUUGUGGUUGCAGUUAAGGUGGCUAAGUAGCUAAAUGGCAAUGAACUCAAGUAUCCUUUUGUUGACACACCUCUGACUGUGAGCCGAUCAGUUGUAGGGCAGCUGAGAUUUCUAUGCUGAUAUAGAGUUAAGCAAGCUGUAAAAGAUGUAUGUAAACAAACUGGAAAGAAGAGAAAGCAGAAGCUAGGUACCCUAUCUGGCUACAAGCCCUCCUGAACAUUGAAGGAUAAGGUCUUAUAAAGGAAGCACUCCCUCUUCUAUUAAUGACAGCAUCAUUAGCAGUGCAGAUAUAUACAUCUCUUAAAUUAAUAGUGCAACAGAUUGUUCCUGCUGCACUUAAGAAGCAGUUCAAUGUAACAACCACAAGCUAAAAUAUUACCAAGCUUGUGAACUUCAAAGCAAACUUUCCUUCUUUUUAAAGAGUUUUAAAAAACAGCUGAGCAUAUUUUCUCCUACCUCAUCUUUAAAGAAAUUACAAAAGAAUGUAUACAGGAGGCCUGAAGUUCCUGCCAGUCCUUCAUCUUGGUUUUGUUGGCAUAUUGGCAGGGAAUCUGGACACUGAAAUUUACUCUUAAUGAGGACCUUGUUUUACGGAUGUGUUCUUGUUCUGUGUGGUAAUGCUUAUCUGAACUGCUUGUUCUCUUAUGGAGGGCCAAAAAAGAUACCUUGAAGAUAAACACUGAAGUAACGAGUCAAAAUGCUUACUUAUUUAUUAAGUUUGGGAGGUAUGGCUUGUCAUUAAGUUGAAUUUAUUGAUUUAUUGGUUGAUUUUAAGUGUACAGUAUAUCUGCAAUCUUCUGCAAUCUUUUCAAGGACUGGUCAACUAAGAGAAAAAAAGUGUGCUUUCUUUGGCUUAUGAUGGAUUGAACAUAGAGGCAGCAAAUAUUAGGUAGGAGUUGAUCAGUGCAAAUGAAAGCUGCAGGUAGUAGUUUGAAUGGAAACAAUGAUGUAGCUGAAGUGUACCUGAACAGGAACUUAAGGUGGAAAGCAAGAAUGUGAAGAAGUGGCAAGGACAGCAACUGUGCAGUGGAGCAAAUGAAGAGAACCUGAAAACACUUACCUAUAAAUGAAAAAAAAAAGCACCCCAGUAAGUAGCAACCAGCAAUAGGCAAGAAGGAUUAAAGCAAGUGAAAGAAAGCCCAGAAAUGCAGAAAUGCAUUAUUCUUACUGCUGAUUGCUAAGAAUCAUUAAGUGACUGUCACUGAAUGCUGGACUAAAAGCAAGGGAGAUGAAAAGUCAGAGGCUCUUUGAUGGGAGAGAGAAAUGAUGUGUCUGCCCCUUGAAAGUCACAGGCAGGGUUUCUAUUGGUUUUAUCAGAGCAGAAUUGGACUUUCUUUGAGCUAAGCUGAUGAAAAAUAAAUGCUUUUAUUUUGCAGUCCUACAUUUAUACGCAAUUCAUAUGUUGUCUUACAUUCCAUAGGUGGAGUUUUUAUACUCAGGAAAAUUUUCAGGACUGAGAACCCUGCAGUAUCUUUCCUUGCUUUUUCACUGGUAGCAGAGAAUGUCAGCUCCUCAGUACUUCUGUGCCUCAAACCUCCAGACACUGGUAGCUAGGAAAUGUUGCAGCCUCUGUGUCUGGUAGCUUGUGUCCUGUUCUGAGGGACUAAUAGAGCUGUCAUUCGUGUUGGAGAUUUUUCUCCCAGCUCAUUAGUAAAACUGGAAUUAACUGAGUAACUUGCUGACCAAAUAGCUGAGUAGAUGUGGGAGGCAGGCUGACAGCAGACUCAGUUUCAGCCAAUCUGUGAUUCCCUGAGCAAGGUGUCCGAUUCCUUUAUAAAUUUCUGUGGGUCUGAUUCCAAACAGAAUUAUCUUUCCGUUUGUUUUCAUUCAAUACAAAUCUGGUAAGUGUGGUUGACUGAAGAGCAAGGCGGCUCUCACUUUUUGAGGAGAGGAGAAAGGGAAUAUUUUCCCGUGUCAUGUAGCGUCACUGAAUCAAACAGCCCUAAGUAAUGCUCUAAUUGCAGUGAAAGCACUAUUAGGUACGGGAAUGCCAGGAGAGCUGUAGUCCUGCUUUCUGCCGGCAAGUAUGAGUCCGGUUGGCUGAAGAGCCAAUGUCACCUUUAGUUCCUCCUCACUCUGCAUUAGAGCAGCUGCAUGCAAGAACUGCUGAGCUGCUCUGACCGAGGAAUGAACACCAUGCAGAUGCG